rnacentral:lncRNA from 1 species
UUUGGUCCAGUGAUUCGGUGAAGCACCUGAAAAUAGUGGUUGCAAAGAAGUGGGAAAUUCACAAAAAUCCAUCGAAAAGCAAACGAAUGGAGGAUAGAAGUUCGAUUUUUAUCCGUCAAGUUAGGUUUUGGUGAAGCCGAAGGAGCUGAACUACAGGCGGAUACCAAAGGGCUUGUAGCAUAGCGAUAUAAAGUUGUCUACUAAAGGCGUUCAAAGUGGUUGAGGAUUCUUGUCCCUUGGUGGACGUUGGUGUAGAUCUAGGAGUAGGUCUAGAGGGUUUGUGAGUUGGACGGUUUAAAAACAUGAGGUAAAUGCCUGAACCAACGUCCGUUGGUGUCUAUGAGGAUGAUAACGUGGUCCUAGAGUAAAAUGGUAACAAUGUCAAGAAAGCAGGGCUCCAUUCAACGCUUGCUUCACUCCUCGAUGAUCAUGUGCUUGCAGAUAUACCAAAGAAACCAACUCUAUCAGAUGUUGACACCCUCAUCAGCUUGGAACUUGGGAGUGCACAUCUUUUGAUGUUGCUGUGAUGAAUUCUGCUACACUUAAGGAUUUGAAACUAGCCGUCGAGAAAAAAUCCAAUGAAAUAGAGCAGUCAAAGAUGGGCCAUCGCCAUAUUUCUUGUCAAUCGGAGGUGAAGAACUAAGUUGUCGGCCGGAGGUGAUGAGAGAUGGUAAUCGGUGGUCGAUUGAUCGGCGCGGUGCUUAUCGGAGGUGAAUAGAGUGGUUGCCGUGGUGGAAAUUGUCGACAAAAGGAAUGAAGGACCGUGGUGGAGGUGUUUUCCGGCGGUCGGAGAUGAUAAAAGUUGAUCAGUGGUCGUGUACAGAGAGAUGGUCGUCGGCAGUGUGAUGGGGUAAUCGGAGGUGGGUAGUGUGAUAGAUGAUGGUGGAGGUUAGUCUAUUGUGGGUGACGGUGGAUAUGGUGGUCGAUCGGAGGGUGAGUCGUGAUUGUUAUUCGACGGUGGGGUAGUGGUGAUUGUUGGUCAGAAAAAGGUGGAUGGAUGGUGGUUGAUGUCCUCGGUGGCGGAGUUGUUCCUAAUGGGGCAUCAAUGUGAAGAAAAACUGGGGCAAAAGACAGGAAGACAGGGACUGAACAGCCAAAUUGGGGAAGAAGACGGGGACUGAAUAGAGGUGCACACGUGUCAAAAGGUGAGUGGUUGCUGAGGAAAGCUCUUUUAAGCCGUGUCGAAACUCGUGCAAAGGCCCGUGGAGUCGUUUCAGUUGGCCAUUUUUGAAAAAUUGAUCAUUCAAUGGCUAUUUUGGUAAUUAUCCCUUAUGAAUUUGUGUUGGAAACUGAUAAAGUAAAAAACAAUACGCGCGUCAUAGCUGGUUGGGUUUGGUUUCAUUUUUAGGUUAUUUUGUAUGAUUAAUCUGUUUGACCCGUUAUCAAUCAUAUCCAAUCCGUAUUAACAGGUUUUCAUUAAAAGGCUUGAAUUUGC